CAAUAGCGUAUAUUAAAGUUGUUGCGGUUAAAAAGCUCGUAGUUGGAUUUCUGCUGAGAACGACCGGUCCGCCCUUUGGGUGUGUAUCUGGCUCUUUCUUGGCAUCUUCUUGGUGAACGUUGCUGCACUUGACUGUGUGGAGCGCUACCCAGGACUUUUACUUUGAGGAAAUUAGAGUGUUUCAAGCAGGCAUACGCCUUGAAUACAUUAGCAUGGAAUAAUAAGAUAGGACCUCGGUUCUAUUUUGUUGGUUUCUAGAGCUGAGGUAAUGAUUAAUAGGGAUAGUUGGGGGCAUUCGUAUUUAACUGUCAGAGGUGAAAUUCUUGGAUUUUUUAAAGACGGACUACUGCGAAAGCAUUUGCCAAGGAUGUUUUCAUUGA
rnacentral:rRNA from 1 species